rnacentral:rRNA from 1 species
GAUGAACGCUGGCGGCGUGCCUAAUACAUGCAAGUCGAGCGAAGAGGCGAGGGACUUGCCCCCCUGACGUUAGCGGCGGACGGGGGAGUAACACGUGGAUAACCUCCCUAUCAGACUGGGAUAACUUCGGGAAACAGGAGCUAAUACCGGAUAAAAAGCUGCACCGCAUGGUUCAACAGUGAAGGUCGGUCUUGCUAUCACUUAUAGGUGGAUCCGCGCCGCAUUAGCUAGUUGGUAAGGUAACGGGUUACCAAGGCAACGAUGCGUAGCCGACCUGAGAGGGUGAUCGGCCACGCUGGAGCUGAGGCACGGUCCAGAUUCCUACGGGAGGCAGCAGUGGGGAAUCUGCCGCAAUGGGCGAAAUCAUGUCGGAGCAACGCCGCGUGAGUGAAGAAGGUCUUCGGAUCGUAAAACUCUGUUAUUAGGGUAGAACAAAUGUGUAAGUAACUAUGCACGUCUUGACGGUACCUAAUCAGAAAGCCACGGCUAACUACGUG